AGAAACGGUGCUAACGGAUUUUAAACGGACAAAUCACGUGACAACAACCCUCCAAUUUUAAAAAUCGAGUUCCGGGAAAGAGGAAAACACAACAAAAACAUUACUUAUGAAGCGAGGGUUGCACAAUAGACAGUGAGACAGUGAUCUGUUGCCAUGGAUAUUGAGGAGAAAGCAUUGAGGAAGAGGAGACGCUCAGUGAGAAAUCUGCGUCGUACAUCCGUAGUUAUGCCACUCAAUCUUGACACAUUGGAUGAAAAUGUUGAAGAUGCUUCAUCAAAAGAAAUUCAGUCUAAUGGGAACCAGGCGGUGUUUUGGUAGUAUGUGGUGUGAGAGCUUGGAACCAGUUUGUUAAGAAGCGCAGGCGUAGAUCCAGUCUAUUGGUUGGACUGGUACCAAAGACUGAAUGACCCUGAUGUAGAAGAGAAUGUAGAAAACCACAUUUUAAAUACCCAGAAUGCAUACAUUACAAAAACAUAUCGAGACCAGACAUUAGAUAAUAUUGAAGAACCCAUAACAAAAACAAACAGUUUGACCAACAGUAGAGAGACUUUAAAAACUGAAGUCUCUUCAUCAUCAUAUGAUGCUAAUUACCCUCAAGUUAGCCUUUCAAAAUCAUGUGAUGACAUGAGGUCUGAUGACUGUAGUGAACCUGUAACCAGAACAAACAGUUUGAGUGAGAACUUAGAUACAUCAAAUGAAAAUGCACUAGUUAAACAAAGGAGUUCAGGGUCAUGUGAAAACAGCAAUGAAAGU